rnacentral:rRNA from 1 species
GGUUAAGCGACUAAGCGUACACGGUGGAUGCCCUGGCAGUCAGAGGCGAUGAAGGACGUGCUAAUCUGCGAUAAGCGUCGGUAAGGUGAUAUGAACCGUUAUAACCGGCGAUUUCCGAAUGGGGAAACCCAGUGUGUUUCGACACACUAUCAUUAACUGAAUCCAUAGGUUAAUGAGGCGAACCGGGGGAACUGAAACAUCUAAGUACCCCGAGGAAAAGAAAUCAACCGAGAUUCCCCCAGUAGCGGCGAGCGAACGGGGAGGAGCCCAGAGCCUGAAUCAGUGUGUGUGUUAGUGGAAGCGUCUGGAAAGGCGCGCGAUACAGGGUGACAGCCCCGUACACAAAAAUGCACAUACUGUGAGCUCGAUGAGUAGGGCGGGACACGUGGUAUCCUGUCUGAAUAUGGGGGGACCAUCCUCCAAGGCUAAAUACUCCUGACUGACCGAUAGUGAACCAGUACCGUGAGGGAAAGGCGAAAAGAACCCCGGCGAGGGGAGUGAAAAAGAACCUGAAACCGUGUACGUACAAGCAGUGGGAGCACGCUUAGGCGUGUGACUGCGUACCUUUUGUAUAAUGGGUCAGCGACUUAUAUUCUGUAGCAAGGUUAACCGAAUAGGGGAGCCGAAGGGAAACCGAGUCUUAACUGGGCGUUAAGUUGCAGGGUAUAGACCCGAAACCCGGUGAUCUAGCCAUGGGCAGGUUGAAGGUUGGGUAACACUAACUGGAGGACCGAACCGACUAAUGUUGAAAAAUUAGCGGAUGACUUGUGGCUGGGGGUGAAAGGCCAAUCAAACCGGGAGAUAGCUGGUUCUCCCCGAAAGCUAUUUAGGUAGCGCCUCGUGAAUUCAUCUCCGGGGGUAGAGCACUGUUUCGGCAAGGGGGUCAUCCCGACUUACCAACCCGAUGCAAACUGCGAAUACCGGAGAAUGUUAUCACGGGAGACACACGGCGGGUGCUAACGUCCGUCGUGAAGAGGGAAACAACCCAGACCGCCAGCUAAGGUCCCAAAGUCAUGGUUAAGUGGGAAACGAUGUGGGAAGGCCCAGACAGCCAGGAUGUUGGCUUAGAAGCAGCCAUCAUUUAAAGAAAGCGUAAUAGCUCACUGGUCGAGUCGGCCUGCGCGGAAGAUGUAACGGGGCUAAACCAUGCACCGAAGCUGCGGCAGCGACGCUGAUGCGUUGUUGGGUAGGGGAGCGUUCUGUAAGCCUGCGAAGGUGUGCUGUGAGGCAUGCUGGAGGUAUCAGAAGUGCGAAUGCUGACAUAAGUAACGAUAAAGCGGGUGAAAAGCCCGCUCGCCGGAAGACCAAGGGUUCCUGUCCAACGUUAAUCGGGGCAGGGUGAGUCGACCCCUAAGGCGAGGCCGAAAGGCGUAGUCGAUGGGAAACAGGUUAAUAUUCCUGUACUUGGUGUUACUGCGAAGGGGGGACGGAGAAGGCUAUGUUGGCCGGGCGACGGUUGUCCCGGUUUAAGCGUGUAGGCUGGUUUUCCAGGCAAAUCCGGAAAAUCAAGGCUGAGGCGUGAUGACGAGGCACUACGGUGCUGAAGCAACAAAUGCCCUGCUUCCAGGAAAAGCCUCUAAGCAUCAGGUAACAUCAAAUCGUACCCCAAACCGACACAGGUGGUCAGGUAGAGAAUACCAAGGCGCUUGAGAGAACUCGGGUGAAGGAACUAGGCAAAAUGGUGCCGUAACUUCGGGAGAAGGCACGCUGAUAUGUAGGUGAAGUCCCUCGCGGAUGGAGCUGAAAUCAGUCGAAGAUACCAGCUGGCUGCAACUGUUUAUUAAAAACACAGCACUGUGCAAACACGAAAGUGGACGUAUACGGUGUGACGCCUGCCCGGUGCCGGAAGGUUAAUUGAUGGGGUUAGCGCAAGCGAAGCUCUUGAUCGAAGCCCCGGUAAACGGCGGCCGUAACUAUAACGGUCCUAAGGUAGCGAAAUUCCUUGUCGGGUAAGUUCCGACCUGCACGAAUGGCGUAAUGAUGGCCAGGCUGUCUCCACCCGAGACUCAGUGAAAUUGAACUCGCUGUGAAGAUGCAGUGUACCCGCGGCAAGACGGAAAGACCCCGUGAACCUUUACUAUAGCUUGACACUGAACAUUGAGCCUUGAUGUGUAGGAUAGGUGGGAGGCUUUGAAGUGUGGACGCCAGUCUGCAUGGAGCCGACCUUGAAAUACCACCCUUUAAUGUUUGAUGUUCUAACGUUGACCCGUAAUCCGGGUUGCGGACAGUGUCUGGUGGGUAGUUUGACUGGGGCGGUCUCCUCCUAAAGAGUAACGGAGGAGCACGAAGGUUGGCUAAUCCUGGUCGGACAUCAGGAGGUUAGUGCAAUGGCAUAAGCCAGCUUGACUGCGAGCGUGACGGCGCGAGCAGGUGCGAAAGCAGGUCAUAGUGAUCCGGUGGUUCUGAAUGGAAGGGCCAUCGCUCAACGGAUAAAAGGUACUCCGGGGAUAACAGGCUGAUACCGCCCAAGAGUUCAUAUCGACGGCGGUGUUUGGCACCUCGAUGUCGGCUCAUCACAUCCUGGGGCUGAAGUAGGUCCCAAGGGUAUGGCUGUUCGCCAUUUAAAGUGGUACGCGAGCUGGGUUUAGAACGUCGUGAGACAGUUCGGUCCCUAUCUGCCGUGGGCGCUGGAGAAUUGAGGGGGGCUGCUCCUAGUACGAGAGGACCGGAGUGGACGCAUCACUGGUGUUCGGGUUGUCAUGCCAAUGGCACUGCCCGGUAGCUAAAUGCGGAAGAGAUAAGUGCUGAAAGCAUCUAAGCACGAAACUUGCCCCGAGAUGAGUUCUCCCUGACUCCUUGAGAGUCCUGAAGGAACGUUGAAGACGACGACGUUGAUAGGCCGGGUGUGUAAGCGCAGCGAUGCGUUGAGCUAACCGGUACUAAUGAACCGUGAGGCUUAACCUU